rnacentral:lncRNA from 1 species
UGGCUUUGUUAAUCUCUACUCACCCAUCUACGGGUACAAAAAUUCACCAAUAAAUGUCGUCAGAUAAAAUUAAUCAAUAAUAAUUAAUAUAUAUACAGAAAAGAAUAGGCUAAUUUCUAAUCAUCAGGCACCACCAUCUUCUUCUGUUCUACCAAUGAACCUCUAAACAUAGUGUUUCAAUUUGAUUAUCAUGACACUGGUAUCAUCCAAAGAGCCUCUUGAAACAGACAACUUUGCAAGCUUUUUACAGGCCAUCAAUGGUUGUUGGUUGUUAUUUCCUACGCAAAAUUGACGAGCAAUGUCUACUGCUUCCUGAUUACUAACCUGAAAUGAUAAAAAGAAACUUGAUCAGUUAAUCAUUCAAUAUCAAAAGAAAAGUGCGAAAAUCAUCAUAAUUGAUUUUAUCUUUGUCAAACAUGAUUUGAAUGCGUUUGGAUUAGCACGAGUUUGACAUUAGACAAACAUUCCAAUCAAAAUCAUGUUUGACAAACGCCGAAUACACAUACAAUAACAUCGCAAUGAAAUUUUGAAGUAUUACCUUAUCCCAUAAUCCAUCUGAAGCUAAUAUUAACAAGUCAUGUUCAGGUUCAAUUCUAAUAACUUUAGUCUCGGGCUCCGCUGUCACCCAUUGUUUCAAGUGUCGGUCUCCAAUUCCUCUUGAUACAGCAAGAGAUCCUUGAAUCCUCCAAACACCGCGACAUAAAUCAACAUAACCACCCUGCAAGACAAAUUUCAAUGCAUAAGAUUAAGAACCAAACUCAAACACAAGGUUUCAAAAAAACAUAAAUAAAAAGAGAAGCCAAUACAAUGGUAAGAAAAUUUACCAGGGUCUCAAUUCUGUCCUUUUCGUCUUCCCUUGAAGGACGGUGAUCAGAUGUUAGUGCCUCAGCAACCCCUCCUCUACUAAUAACAGCACGGCAAUCACCAGCAUUAGACACAACUAAGUUACCAUUCCUAAUGAAUGCUGUCACACAACAAGAACCACCAUGUAGAUCUUUUUUCAUGAACUCAGAAUCGGUAUUGAGGUAACCGCGCUUCACUGCCUCCUCAACAUCAUCUUUGUCGCUCAUGAUAACUUCGUCCAAGAUGUUCUUUUCUAAGUUGUUUGCCGCAAAUUCAGCGGCUUUGGCACCUCCAUGUCCAUCAAAUACGCCAAAAAAAGCCUGCAAUUACCACAAAAUAAACUUGUACAAGUUAGAUUUUACACAAUCAAAUCUAAUAUAAGUCCAAGUCAUCAACAACAACAAGAACAAGCAAGCAUAUACAUCAAAUCUCAAUUAAACAUUAAAUGCAUAAUCAUAUGUUCCUAAUUUGUUUCAACUAUCUACAAAAUUCAAAUUUAACUAAUGGCUAAUUACUAAGACAAACUUUUUAACUUCAAAAGCAACAAUUCAAAAAAAUCCUAGCAGCUUAAAAUUGACUUUUUCAACUACAUAAAUUAAUCUCAAAUUUUCCAUAUGCAGCUACCAAAUCAGACCAAAAAAAGAACAAAAUAUUGAAAUUCUGCAAACAAUUAGAUCCAAUAAGACCCAAAUCAAUUAAGAAAUCAAGUUUGAAACUUUCAACAAACCCAAUUGACAAAAACAUAUCAACAUCAAAACCAACCAAAUAAAUAUUAUAUAUUCUAUUAAAAAUAAAUAAAAAGGUUAAAAAAUUUCUUACCAAAUUGUUUUCACCACGAAGAUUAACCCCAGCUGUAUAACGAUCUUCCAUAUACUCCCUCCUCCCUCUCUUACAAUAAACAGAAUACCCAUCUCCCUCCGCCUCAACAACAUCCCUCGCCACCGCAGAAGGCGUCGCCGGAACACAAAAAGCAUGUUCAGAAACAGGUAUAUUAAGCCUGGUAGGUCGUUUCCUCUUCAAAACAGCAUCAUUCUGCGACCCAGAAUCCUUGUUAGACGUAAAAACCAAGGGUAGUUUCGGUAACCGAAGACAAAAAGGUGAAGAAGGUGAAGAACAAGGAGAAGGCGAAGAAGAAGACGAUGAAGACGUUGUUGUUGUUGUUGAAGAUGGUUUGAGAUGAGAAAGAGAUAACGUUAACGUUUCAGAUUUGUUGCAGAAGAGAGAUGAAGAAGGUGAAAACACCGGCGAAUUCGAAACCGCGACGGAGCAAGACAUGUUUAAGGUUAUUGUUGUUGUUCACGAUGAUUAAGGUUUUUUGUUUUGUUUGAGUCAAAUAAUUUAACGUUGGAAUUGGUCUUUGUUUGUUCGUGUGUUUAUGUUUUUUUUUUUUUCGUACCGUUGAAUGAAUAAGUGUUAUGAGGAGGAUGAAGAAUUGC